rnacentral:tRNA from 1 species
GCCUCGGUGGUGAAAUUGGUAGACACAAGGGACUUAAAAUCCCUCGCCUUUACCGGCGUGCCGGUUCGACCCCGGCCCGAGGCACCA